rnacentral:rRNA from 1 species
AGUCGAGCGGUAACAGGGGUAGCUUGCUACCCGCUGACGAGCGGCGGACGGGUGAGUAAUGCAUAGGAAUCUGCCCGAUAGUGGGGGAUAACCUGGGGAAACCCAGGCUAAUACCGCAUACGUCCUACGGGAGAAAGGGGGCUCCGGCUCCCGCUAUUGGAUGAGCCUAUGUCGGAUUAGCUAGUUGGUGAGGUAAAGGCUCACCAAGGCGACGAUCCGUAGCUGGUCUGAGAGGAUGAUCAGCCACAUCGGGACUGAGACACGGCCCGAACUCCUACGGGAGGCAGCAGUGGGGAAUAUUGGACAAUGGGCGAAAGCCUGAUCCAGCCAUGCCGCGUGUGUGAAGAAGGCCCUAGGGUUGUAAAGCACUUUCAGCGAGGAAGAACGCCUAGUGGUUAAUACCCAUUAGGAAAGACAUCACUCGCAGAAGAAGCACCGGCUAACUCCGUGCCAGCAGCCGCGGUAAUACGGAGGGUGCAAGCGUUAAUCGGAAUUACUGGGCGUAAAGCGCGCGUAGGUGGCUUGAUAAGCCGGUUGUGAAAGCCCCGGGCUCAACCUGGGAACGGCAUCCGGAACUGUCAAGCUAGAGUGCAGGAGAGGAAGGUAGAAUUCCCGGUGUAGCGGUGAAAUGCGUAGAGAUCGGGAGGAAUACCAGUGGCGAAGGCGGCCUUCUGGACUGACACUGACACUGAGGUGCGAAAGCGUGGGUAGCAAACAGGAUUAGAUACCCUGGUAGUCCACGCCGUAAACGAUGUCGACCAGCCGUUGGGUGCCUAGCGCACUUUGUGGCGAAGUUAACGCGAUAAGUCGACCGCCUGGGGAGUACGGCCGCAAGGUUAAAACUCAAAUGAAUUGACGGGGGCCCGCACAAGCGGUGGAGCAUGUGGUUUAAUUCGAUGCAACGCGAAGAACCUUACCUACUCUUGACAUCCUGCGAACUUGUGAGAGAUCACUUGGUGCCUUCGGGAACGCAGAGACAGGUGCUGCAUGGCUGUCGUCAGCUCGUGUUGUGAAAUGUUGGGUUAAGUCCCGUAACGAGCGCAACCCUUGUCCUUAUUUGCCAGCGCGUAAUGGCGGGAACUCUAAGGA